rnacentral:rRNA from 1 species
GUGGGGAAUCUUGCGCAAUGGGCGAAAGCCUGACGCAGCCAUGCCGCGUGAAUGAUGAAGGUCUUAGGAUUGUAAAAUUCUUUCACCGGGGACGAUAAUGACGGUACCCGGAGAAGAAGCUCCGGCUAACUUCGUGCCAGCAGCCGCGGUAAUACGAAGGGGGCUAGCGUUGCUCGGAAUUACUGGGCGUAAAGGGCGCGUAGGCGGACAGCUUAGUCAGAGGUGAAAGCCCAGGGCUCAACCUUGGAAUUGCCUUUGAUACUGGCUGUCUUGAGUUUGGGAGAGGUGAGUGGAACUCCGAGUGUAGAGGUGAAAUUCGUAGAUAUUCGGAAGAACACCAGUGGCGAAGGCGACUCACUGGCCCAAUACUGAAGCUGAGGCGCGAAAGCGUGGGGAGCAAACAGGAUUAGAUACCCUGGUAGUCC